AAGCAAGAAGCGAUCAAUCGCAACCAAUUUCGACCUGGUUUACAGGUAGGAUUCUCUACCCUUGUUUA
rnacentral:tRNA from 1 species